rnacentral:rRNA from 1 species
GAUGAACGCUGGCGGCGUGCCUAAUACAUGCAAGUCGAGCGAACAGACGAGGAGCUUGCUCCUCUGACGUUAGCGGCGGACGGGUGAGUAACACGUGGAUAACCUACCUAUAAGACUGGGUUAACUUCGGGAAACCGGAGCUAAUACCGGAUAAUAUAUUGAACCGCAUGGUUCAAUAGUGAAAGACGGUUUUGCUGUCACUUAUAGAUGGAUCCGCGCCGCAUUAGCUAGUUGGUAAGGUAACGGCUUACCAAGGCAACGAUGCGUAGCCGACCUGAGAGGGUGAUCGGCCACACUGGAGCUGAGACACGGUCCAGCCUCCUACGGGAGGCAGCAGUAGGGAAUCUUCCGCAAUGGGCGAAAGCCUGACGGAGCAACGCCGCGUGAGUGAUGAAGGUCUUCGGAUCGUAAAACUCUGUUAUUAGGGAAGAACAAAUGUGUAAGUAACUAUGCACGUCUUGACGGUACCUAAUCAGAAAGCCACGGCUAACUACGUG